rnacentral:lncRNA from 1 species
CGCCGACCGGCCCCGGUGCGCCCAGCGGAGCGGAGCGGAGCGCGCGGAGGGAGGAGUUUUCCCAGAAUGGGACUGACGGGAAAACACGGGGAUCCCUAUUCCUGGAGGAAUCCAGCCUGGUGCCUGGGAUAGGGAAGUGCAUGAUAAAUGCUGCAUAAAUGAAAAACAAUUGCUACCGUGGAAGAUAUUGAAAGGAAAGUGCUAUCGAUGCCAAAGUUGUUUCCAAGAGAGGUAUUCCAAAAGUGUUUCAAGCAAUGACUGAGCUAAGCAUCCAGUCCUGCAAGGUGAAGGCGUUGAAGACGCAGCCCUCAUUUGAAUAGAUGAAUUGUGGUAUUCUUGUUAAAUAAUGAAUCAUAUCAAGGCUUGGUCACACCUCAUGCACAUGAAAAGACCAAAACGCAAGGCAGCAUAUCAGCGCCACGUGAAGUACACACUAAGCACCAACUAUUUAAUUCAGCAAUCAUGGGGGGCCCGGUGGCUCACGCCUGUCAUCUUAGCAAUUUGGGAGGCCGAGGCAGGUGGAUCGCUUGAGCCCAGGAGUUCGAGAUCAGCCUGGGCAUCAUGGUGGCCUGCACCUGUAGUCCCAGCUACUCAGGAGGCUGAGGUGGGAGGAUAGUUUGACCCCAGAAAGUUGAGGCUGCAGUGAGCCGUGAAUGCACCACUACACACCAGCCUGGAUGACAGAGCGAAACCCUGUCUCAAAGUAAUUAAUAAUAAUUAUAUUAAUUCAGCAAUCAUUGGAGUGUUUGUUGACUUUGACACCGCACUAAGGGAAGGAGUAGGUCCCUUUCCUCAAGUAGUUCCAGUCUAGGUGAGAAGACAGACAAUUAUGCAAAGUUCAAUGGGAACCCAAGGGAAGGAACAGUGAAAUCCAAUUACAGUGCAUUUGAUCUAGCUCUUGAGGAUAAAUGAGGGUUUGCCAAACUGAGACUGGAAACCCCAUUUAAGACACAUGGAAUAGCACCUACAAAGGUGAGGCAGCCAGUCUGCUGGUGUGUUUAGCGAAGCUAUGUAAACUGGUGUGGCUGGAGAAUAGAGAUGUGGAUAAUAAGAUUGAAGGAAGUGGAUACCAGACUUUGAAGGUCAUUGCGUGCCAUGCUGAAGAGUUAGGCAUCAAAAAAGACACAAGUGUGACUUAAUCAGCAGCACCAUCAAGAAGACCGUCUUGCAACAGUCUUGCAGUUGAACUGGAGACUCGGGGUGCCCUAAAACUCAAGCAGUGGUCCUGAGGUUGAGGAGGAGGGGAAGGAGCUAGGAAACGGUUCAGAUCAUUUGGCUGUGUAGUGAGAGAGAAAACAAAAAUCGCUAACCUUUAACAGCUGAACAAUGGUUGGUGUCAGUAAGUGAGAUAAGAAUUCAGGGCUGGGCACAGUGGCUCAUACCUGUAAUCCCAGCACUUUGGGAGGCUGAGGUGGGUGGAUCACGAGGUCAGGAGUUCCAGACCAGCCUGACCAACAUGGAGAAACCCCAUCUCUACUAAAAAUACAAUAUUAGCUGGGCGUGGUGGUGCAUGCCUGUAAUCCCAGCUACUCGGGAGGCUGAGGCAGGAGAAUCACUUGAACCCAGGAGGUGGAGGUUGCAGUGAGCUGAGAUCACGACAUUGCACUGCAGCCUGGGCAAAAAGAAUGAAACUCCGUCUCAAAAAAAA